AUGAAAAUACUGUUUCAAUAAAUUACAAAACAAACAGGAUUAUGGAAAAUAAAUAUAAUAUCUACUGAAUAUACCUUGUGUGAUAAACAAUAAUUAUUAUCUGAUGUAAUAGUUUGUUUAGUUAACGUUUUCUGUAACGUUUAACAUACAAAACAUCACUGAGUAGAAACAUGUAUUAAUCAUUGGGUUUUGAUUUUUACAAAGGAUCAAAGCAAACCGUUACUGGUUGUCAAAGUAUAUUGUUUGUAAUAUUAAUAGAUUUAUUAUAGGAAAUAUUAUUUAGUGACCAAUAGAUUUUAUGAGACUUAAGAAAGCUUGUUGGUAAAGUAUGGGACGAGAUUGUAAAUAUUAUUUCCAUUAACCCUGGAACUGGUAAUACACUUAAUUAUUUUAACAGUAUCAGCUCGCUAAAACACACGCUCACAACAACAGAAAAAUAAACAAACACUACUAGUAAAUAAAGUAACAACAGCUGUUUGGUAGACUAAUGUUAGCGCAGUGAACUAGCUGAGUCAACAAAGCACAGGCUCAUCGCAGUGUAGACAUGCAACAGGAUAUUAAAAUGUUCAGAAAGUGUAUUAUUUAUACAUUGAAUGUUCUUCUCUCAAUUCGUAUCAGUACAGAUACUUUUUGAAUAUAUUUGAAAGAAAUUAUAAAAAAAAAUAUAAGCAAUGUUAAAAAAUAUUAUAUCAGAUAUUUACCAGUUGCAGGGUUAAAACACUCACAAGAAGUUUGUUCUAGAAUUGGAGUUAAUUUUUAAUUUUAAUUUAAAAAAUAUGUUUAGCUGAUCAAAACAAAAAAAACCUUAUGAUGUGUAAUUCAAUGGUCAACAUUUUAGAAUAAUAAAGCCAAAUUAUAUAAUUGUAGAUCCCAUACUGAUGUUUUCUAAAAUAUAGUUUGAUUUACAACAAGUAAAUAUUUCUUCACAGUAAAUUUUACUUAAUAUUUUUGAUCAUUUAAAUCAAGCGUGAUUAGACCAAAAUUGGCUAUAUUUAUUGGAUAUUUGAUAAUUGAGUGAGAUGAAUAAAUUACAUUUAACUAACAAAACAGAUUUGAAUUUAUUUUUUCACAAUUGCUAAAUCAGCGGAUAAAAAAUAAAUCUAUAUACUUUGAAUUUCUAUUCGAACAGCCACACAAUGAACAUGGUGGAAGUUUCUGUGACAUGCUGCUCUUAUAAAGAUAGUUAUUUUUGCUUUUUAUUUUUUACAUUCUAUCUCAACAGUUUUACUCAGCUUCAAACAGAAAACUUAUAAUUAUAAAUUGAGCAUUUCUGCAUGCAUAAUAGGCCUAUUAAGUACACUCUUUACGAAGUCAAUUUUAUACCAAGAUAGUAAAGGUUUGCUUAGAAAUAAGUAUUGUUUACCAUGAAUUGUGCAAUAUUUUAGCUUAAUAACAAUUACUUAGUGUUAUUGUAUAUAAUGUGUACAUAAAAUGAUGGCUUAGUGUAAAUAAUGAUUUUUCAUUUUAUGUUUUGGUUCUUGCCCCACAACCUAAUAUCACAUUCCAUUGAAACAUCACUGUUAACUGUAAUAAAAAAGCACAAUGUCGCCAUCCAUAUCAGUGAUUAAAAGUGAAGUUUUUUUUAUUUUUUCUCUUAAUUGAUUGGCUUUUUAGUGACUUUUUAUUAUUGAAGUAUAAUAAGAAAACCUGUAUUGUGUAUAUUACAUAAAUAGUUGAUUGCGUUUAUACAUAUUUUUUCCUCAAUUUCAAGAUAAAUAAAUGCUUAUUUAUCGUUUAGAAAUUUAACUAGUAAUAAAUUAUAGUCAAACCAGAAGCAGAAAUUAUAUAUUAAGGAAACAAAGAUUCUAAAAAGAAGUUGAUUAUGCUUUGUUUGAUUUUUAGAAUUUGAACCAAAUGUAUUGUGUAUAUACUAAAAUAAAUUUAUGCCAAAAAAAAAACUUUUAACUUCAUGUGACAGUUAUAAGUUAUAUGUUUUACUUUUUUCAGACCAGUCUGGAAAUUUGUUCAUGCUGUUCUGUAUAAUACGAGGCAUGUUUUUUAAGUAGUUACAGUCUUGAUAUAAAAAAAAUCAUGUAAACUUUUUUUAACUAUUUUUUUUUAUAUAAAAGUCUUUUAUCUCAUUAGUGAUUUUAUCUCUUAAAUCUACUUUUAUUUAUAAUUGUCAUCAAUAUUAAGGCACUUAUCAUAUCUAAAAACAACCUUUUGUAUACUGUUGUUAUAGAAGAUUGCCACUUGAUUUAAUGGUGACUGCAAUGUGAUCAUUUUGAUAUUAUUGUAGUCGGGCCAGUGGAUCUUCUGAUUAAAGAACAAAUUGUAGUCACUGAGCGCUAAAGUGGGGCUGCUAGGGGGAUUAUUGAAUUGUCCCCAGCAAAGUGGUGUGGUGUGACCUCGCUUUUGUUUUACCCCAUGUGGACAACAUCGUCAUACAGAAAAACAUGUUUCUCGAUAUUUUAAACAUUCACUAAAAAUGUCAUACAGAAUACUUUUUGAAACUUGAGGAAACUUCUGAUAACAAUGAAAUUGUGAAAUGUCUGUUUGUUUUCUCUUUAUAUCAUUCACUUUCUGCACCAAAUCAUUAGUGAUAAUUGUCCACUCUUGAACAUUCUUUUGCCAUCUAUCAAAACUCUUACCCAUUUGAAUGUCAUUCCAUCACUAUUAAUACUUUCUCCAUACACUUCACAAUUCUACCAGUGAAUUUCAACUGCUUUCACACCUUAAGCACCAAGAAAAAAAAUAGCGGCACGUACUUCACAGUCUGCGGGAUUCUUAAUUAACAAGGGCAUUUGAAGUAUGCAUUAACAGAUGUAGAAACAAUAGAUUUUUGCCUAAUUGCAUCUAUGGUUUUCUAACAGAGAGUGUAACUGCAGGACAUCCACCGCAAUGCUGCAGAGGCGGAAAUUAAAAACGGUACUCACUUAAAAACAUGCCUCGCAUAAAGUUUUUGAGAAAUCAAAAGUUUUCGCUAAUUUAAUUUGAACUAAGUUGUGACUUUAUAAAUUUGACUACUACUUAAAUUUUUCUGGGAUUAUAGGAAGUAAUUAUAUUAAAUUGUGUUGUCAACUGUUUAGCCUUUAUAGAAGAUAGUUUUAUUGAUUUACUUUCACAUUUGAUAUCUGUGACUCAAAAAGUGGUACAUACAACUUAAAUGUCUUAUACUGUAAGAAUGUUAGUUUCCAGUUAGCCUAUAUAAUGUAACUACAGUAUUUAAAACUUGUGAACUGGUUUCCAAGUUUACAGGUUACCUUUUCUGCAGUUGCUUGUGCUGAUUUGCAAUUUCCGAAUUAGCAACACUGGUAUUUGAUAUUAACAGUACAUUCCUGUUAAUCUGUCCUCCAAUAAUCCAGCUUGCUGUUAAUCAAAAACUUGUAACAGGGUAUUCACCACAUGUUCAAAAUACUGGAAUUAGUGAUGAAUGGGUAAAUUAAUAUUUGAAGAAAUAUCGAGAACAAUUGAAGGAAUUUUGUGGAAGUAUAAAUUUAUAUAAAACUCAUGAAAGAAUGAGUUAUCUUGUUAUAAGUAAGUAUCUUCACAAGAAAAGUCAUAGUUUUGCAUUAUUACUAUGAAAUCUUCUACCGUAAUGAAUUAAAGGAACUUAAUUCGGAGCAAUGGUUAAAUGAAGUUACAGAAAGCAGAUUGUACCAUGCUUGAUAGCAUUCAUUAUACAUUCAUCUCUUCAUAUCUUUGCUUGCACUCCACAUCUUUUUGCCUAAGUUUUGGCUUCCAUUUUAAAUAUCACUCUAGUAGCUUGGGUGUUUUAAUUUUCCACCCAACACAAUAUGAGAAAAAACAAUUAAUUAGUUGAUGUAUUUCUAUUAAUUUUUGAAAACGUUAUAAAAAUAAGUUAUAUUUAACUACAGUAAUUGUGAGAUGCAGUGGUUAUUAGUUAGAGGAUUUAUUAAGCAAGAAUAACCAGCUCAUUUGGUAGCUGACUGAGAGGUUUGUCAUUCUUUAUUGUGGAAAACAUUAACCUACUGUUUUAUUUCUAAAGUAAAAAAAUUAUGUACCAUUUUUCUUUACGGUAAAAUGUUAUUGAAACUUUAAGUAGAGCUCCAUUUCUUGGGGGAGUAUGAUAGACGGAGGGGACAGUAUGAUUUUUGGGUUGCUUUUUAUUGAAGCCUGUUGCUCCAAGAACAAACGUUUAAUAGAUGUUUCUUUAUAAGAAAAUGUAUUAUUUCUACCCUCAGAAUAUACUUUGGAAAGAUUUAACAUAAAUACAGAAGGAUGUUUUAUAUACAUUUGAAAUACAAAUUUUCUCCAUCCCAACUAUUUUUGUCUCGUACGUUAAAUAACUUUUCCCUAAUUAAGUGAAUUUUGUUUACAUGUUAAUCUUUCAUCAAUUUACAACUCGAAGAGAAAUUCAAGUUCUUUUAAGUAAUUCAUUUUAAAAUUUUUACCAGUAGCCUACCAAUGAAUCAACUAAAUUGUUGCUUUUAAUGUUCUUACUUUGUUCUGAAUUGUUUGAUAUACAAGCUUGUUAAUAAUAAUACAAUCUAAAAUAAGGAAUUUAGAGUGGGUUUUGUCUGAAAGUUUAGUGACAGGAAACUGACUUAAAUAUGUGUUCAGUUUAUUGUUUACCCACAUAUAUUUAAAAUGUAUGUUGACUGUUUUGUAAAAUUAUAUAUCUAUCAUUAACUGUAAAUUUAAAUACUGUAUGUUUAUUUGAAUAUGUUGUUUCAAACAGAAACUGCUUUAUUUUGUUAGAAUGUAAAAGAAACUGUUAAAAAUUAACUGUAAUAUUAUUAUUAAUAAUAAUAAUAUGUAUACAACGUUUCAAUAGAAGUUUUCAUCUUGGCUUGUUGGUUAUAAGUAUGUGGAAUGUUAAGUCUAGCUCCAGUUCACAUUGAGUGAACCCCUCCCACCAUAUGACACUGAAUAUGGUACAUUUCUAUGAAAAUAUGUUUAUUUUAAAUAUGUUAAUUUAAUUUUUUCAGUGGUCAAGGUUAAAAUACGAAAUUAUGUGAACACAAAUAGUUUAAUUUGUGCUUUAAAGGAUAGUGGGAGGGACCAUACAAUAUUUGAGAUUGAAUAUUGUGUACUUUGAUUAUGAAUGCUUUGAGUACCUAAAGAAUGAAAAUUUUAAAUAAAGGAGAAUUAUACUAAUUCUUACAUUAUGUAAUAUAUAAUUCGUUUGAAGUUAAUUUGGUCAGUAGGGUUGUAAUAUAGUACCAUUAGUUAAACCAAUUUUAGCUAUUUUCGCUCUGUGGAUAAGAGAAAAAGAUGUGUAGCAUUAGAUUUAAUUAGUUUAGGUUUGCAUGCUUUAUAGUGUUUGGACAGUUUUGGAUUUGAACCUAAUAUAUUCUGGAUAAUUGUGUUGUAGUCGGUUGUUUCGAAUAAAAUUUAAUUUUCGUGUUUAAUGAAGUCCAAAUAAGAAAUAAUAUUAUCAGUACAUUUUUUCAAAGAAUUACUUUUUAAAUUAAUUAAUUUAGCAAUGAUUUAUUAUUAUGCCAAUUUUUAUAUCAACUGUAUCAGUGUUUCGUUUUCUUGUACAUAAUUAACUAAAAGUUCAGGUAUAAAAAACCAUAUUUUCUUGAGCACUUCCAAAUCUAUUUGGUAUGGUCUUACGUGUCAGUUAAAUGAGUGAUUAGAAGUUUUGUUCAGUUUUUUUUUUUUUAUAAAUUGUGGCUCUAUGUAGUGUUCAAAAUGAAAGUGAUCUCUUGAAGUUUUAAUUUGCUACUUUAAAAUUCAAGUGUUAAAACCCACAUUUUCUUGAGCACUAAAGUAUGUUUCAUAUGUCUUAGGCGUCAAUUUAACAACUGUGAAGUGUGUGGUUUAGAAGUUCUUAUUUAGAAAAUUAGUUAUAUACGUUUUUCAUACAAUUUUAAAUUGUAACUCAAAGCCAAGCUGAUCUCUUGGGUUUUAAUUAAAGUAAGUAAGAUAGUGCCAAAGCAUUAAUGUUCAGCUUGUGAUGCCAUACUUGCAUCACACUAAUAUAUAUUUCCUAUAGGAUACUUAAAACGCUUAUAAUUAUUACUACUAUGAUAAAUGUGUCGCCAUUGAUUUGGUCAGAAACUAACGCACAAAAUAGGGAGAAGCCUACUUGACUUCUUAAGCUAAAGAAUCUUCAAUUAUUUAGUUAAAAAUAAUUAUGUUGAAAUGGUGUGAUUCUAUGAAUGUAUAUAAACAAAACUCUCUAUAUGAAUUAUUGUUAACAGUAUAUUAAAUAUAUAUUAUAUAAAUAUAUAGAUGUUUUUAUGGUCGGUACUUAGAAGUUUUAGACAUGCACAGCAAGUUACCCUGAGUGCAUGUGCCAUAUUUUUCACUUUUAAUAUUCUAUAGAGUGUUCGUUGUGCGAACGAUUUUGUUUUCAUUAUUUUGUUACAGUUAUUUAUUGUUUUUUUUUUUUGUUGUUGAAAUGAAGCAAUUAUAGUGAUUUUUCCUUUUUGUUUUUGUGUUGACAACACAAUUGUUGUGGAUUAGAUUUAAAAGACACUAUAACAUAUUUUGUAUAUAAGAGUAGGUGUCGAUCUUAUAGAGUUUAUAGGUGUUUCAGACUUUUUACACAAUCUUCUGAACUUUUCAUUGAAUUGUAUUUGUUGUCUGUAUUUGUAAUGUGAAAUCAUUUUUAUUAUCAAUGUUUUUUACUUAACACAAUACAAUAAAUGAAAUUAUAGAAAGUUG